rnacentral:rRNA from 1 species
GGCGAACGGGUGAGUAACACGUGAGUAACCUGCCCUUGACUUUGGGAUAACUUCAGGAAACUGGGGCUAAUACCGGAUAGGAGCUCCUGCUGCAUGGUGGGGGUUGGAAAGUUUCGGCGGUUGGGGAUGGACUCGCGGCUUAUCAGCUUGUUGGUGGGGUAGUGGCUUACCAAGGCUUUGACGGGUAGCCGGCCUGAGAGGGUGACCGGCCACAUUGGGACUGAGAUACGGCCCAGACUCCUACGGGAGGCAGCAGUGGGGAAUAUUGCACAAUGGGCGAAGCCUGAUGCAGCAACGCCGCGUGC